CUGUGGUUAAGGAACUCGGCAAAUUACCCCCGUAACUUCGGGAGAAGGGGGGCCACAGACUGUCAUACCCCACGCGGGUGGCAGCAGUAGGUGGCCGCAGAGACCAGGGGGAAGCGACUGUUUACUAAAAACACAGGUCCGUGCGAAGUCGUAAGACGAUGUAUACGGACUGACGCCUGCCCGGUGCUGGAACGUUAAGGGGACCGGUUAGUCCGCAAGGGCGAAGCUGAGAACUUAAGCGCCAGUAAACGGCGGUGGUAACUAUAACCAUCCUAAGGUAGCGAAAUUCCUUGUCGGGUAAGUUCCGACCUGCACGAAUGGCGUAACGACUUCCCUACUGUCUCAACCACAGGCCCGGCGAAAUUGCACUACGAGUAAAGAUGCUCGUUACGCGCGGAAGGACGGAAAGACCCCGGGACCUUCACUAUAGCUUGACAUUGGUAUCCGAAUUUAAUUGUGUAGGAUAGGUGGGAGGCUUUGAUCCGCGGACGCCAGUCCGUCGGGGAGCCAACGUUGAAAUACCACUCUGUUGACUUUGGGUAUCUAACUUCGGACCGUGACCCGGUUCAGGGACAGUGUCUGGUGGGUAGUUUAACUGGGGCGGUUGCCUCCUAAAAUGUAACGGAGGCGCCCAAAGGUUCCCUCAGCCUGGUUGGCAAUCAGGUGUUGAGUGCAAGUGCACAAGGGAGCUUGACUGUGAGACUGACAGGUCGAGCAGGGACGAAAGUCGGGACUAGUGAUCCGGCACCUGCGAGUGGAAGCGGUGUCGCUCAACGGAUAAAAGGUACCCCGGGGAUAACAGGCUGAUCUUCCCCAAGAGUCCAUAUCGACGGGAUGGUUUGGCACCUCGAUGUCGGCUCGUCGCAUCCUGGGGCUGGAGUAGGUCCCAAGGGUUGGGCUGUUCGCCCAUUAAAGCGGCACGCGAGCUGGGUUUAGAACGUCGUGAGACAGUUCGGUCCCUAUCCUCCGCGCGCGUAGGAGACUUGAGAAGAGCUGUCCCUAGUACGAGAGGACCGGGACGGACGAACCUCUGGUGUGCCAGUUGUCAUGCCAAUGGCACGGCUGGUUAGCUACGUUCGGAAGGGAUAACCGCUGAAAGCAUCUAAGCGGGAAGCUCGCUUCAAGAUGAGGUCUCCCACCCCUUAGAGGGUUAAGGCCCCCAGCUAGACCACUGGGUUGAUAGGCCAGAAGUGUAAGCCUGGUAACAGGUUCAGCCGACUGGUACUAAUAGGCCGAGGACUUCACCG
rnacentral:rRNA from 1 species